rnacentral:rRNA from 1 species
UACAGAGGGUGCGAGCGUUAAUCGGAAUGACUGGGCGUAAAGGGCGCGUAGGCGGUUAUUCAAGUGAGAUGUGAAAUCCCCGGGCUUAACCUGGGAACUGCAUUUUAGACUGGAUAACUGGAGUACUGUAGAGGGCAGUGGAAUUUCCGGUGUAGCGGUGAAAUGCGUAGAGAUCGGAAGGAACACCAGUGGCGAAGGCGACUGUCUGGGCAGAUACUGACGCUGAGGCGCGAAAGCGUGGGGAGCAAACAGG